CAAAACCCUUUCUUUGCUUUAGUUCCACGUGAAGUGCGUUGCUGCCCCUCUCCUUGCUUCAGGCCGCCGUCAACCACCUCGCCUGACAGCCGCCUGCUUCUCCAUCGUCGUCCCUCUCCUCGCUCUCCUUUACCACCGCCACCACCAGCGCUCACCACUUGCACCGCGCAACCAGCCUCGCCGCACCGUCGCUGCCACCGUGCAUUUUUAUUGCGCCGCUAGCCAGCCUUAACCUUCUCCUUUCGCAAGCAACAGUGCAGCUCUUCGCGAGCCUCCUCGCCGCCGCGCAACACCACCUUCGUCAACCAGCCAUCCGUCGCCGCCGCACCAUACGCCGCUGCCCAAUCUUCUCCUCUCCUCCUUGAUUUCGGUUGUUCUCUAAACCUAAGUUAAUUAACGAAUUUAAUUAAGUUUUAAUAAUUCAAAUUAUGUUCUUGAAUUUAAAUUAUACAUUUUUAUGUUUUAAUUAGAAUUUUCAGAUUUAUAUAUUAUGUUUAAAUAAUAAAUUUAAUUUUCAGAUUAUAUAAAUGCAUUGAAAUAAUGAUUUUUAUUAUUAAAAGCAUGAAUUUUAAGUUUUAAAUCAUGACAGGAUGAUUGUGGAUUAUUGAAUUUAUUGUUUCGAUGUUCUAAGAACGUAGAUUGGCCUUGGCAAUGUUUUUAAAUAAGUUAUAUUGCUGAAAAUUUAAGUAUGAUAUUUGCAAAGAGUUUUCAACGAAUUUCAAUCUUUAAUUCAAUAAUUGUUAUGCUAGGAAAUCAAAUAUUCAAGUUUUGUUAUUGGAGAAAAGUUCUAAAUAUGUUUAGGAUGUAGUUAGAAUGUGUUAGUAUAGUUGUGAAUGAUUAGAAGUUGAUUGGGAAUAUUUGUUGGUUGUUUUAGGCGGAGAAUUCUCUGUAGGCGACUUUUGAAUUAUUAAAGUGGUCUUGCAGUUUGUUUACACAAGUCUCUAAGGAUCAAUAAGCGUUGCCCAUCUACAGGUUUGAAGAUGAUGCAUCAUUGGGAUCGGGAUUAGAGAGCUUAUAGUUCUAUUUGUUUAAUUAAGUGAUUUAAUUUGUUAACUUAUAUUUGAAAGUCGUCGUACUAUUCGUAUUUCUUUAUUUCCGUUAAUUGGUUUUGGACUUAAUAUGUAAUCAAUUAUUUAUGAACCUAAAAGUUAGUUUUAUGUUUUCCGCUGCAAAAUUCUGAAUAAGCCGUACGUUUCCACACGGGCGAUAAUGCCUUGAUAAUUCUCUAUAGUUAUAUUUAUAAAAGGGUUGUUUUAGAAAAAGGGAAUUGUCGGGGUGUUACAAAGUGGUAUCUAGAAGCUAAGGUUUUACUUUAACAAUUUUUUUUAGGCGCCUAACUAUGUAGUUAUUUAAAAUAAAUUUCUUAAAAAUCGAGCUUCUACGCACUAUAUUGUUCAAAAAAUUGGUA